rnacentral:lncRNA from 1 species
AAUACGAAACAGAGACGGGUAAUAUAUAGGGCAAUUGUCAAUAAUAGCACAUUUUGAAGUUUACGUCACAAAAAGAGCACUAGAAGGAGAAAGUCACAAAAAUGACAUUCAUUAAAGGGUAAAAUGUCCCUAAUAUCCUUGGUUUAAAUUAAAUAAACAAACAAAAAAAUAAAAAAAAAAUAAAAAAUAAAUAAAAAAAAUAAAAAAAAUAAAAAAAAAUUUUUAUAGUUUCAGAUUAUAUGUUUUCAGAUUCGAAAUUUUUAUAAUUUUUUUUAAAAAAAAAUUUUGAAUUUUUUUUGAAUUUUUUUUUCAAAUUUUCUUUUUAUAGUUUAAAAAUAAUUUUUGAAACUGUUUUAUAAAUUUUUAUUUUUUAUUUUAGUAUUUAUUUUUUAUAAAAUUUUAAACUCUAAUUCCAAAACCCCACCCCUUAACUCUAAACCCUAAGGUUUGGAUUAAUUAACCCAAGCGGUAUAAGUGUAUAUUUACCUCUUUAAUGAAACCUAUUUUUGUGACUUUGAGCCUUGAGUGCUACUUUGGGAACAAAAACUUGGUUUGGUGCUAUCCAAGUCUUUUUCUCUAAUAUAUAUAAGGUGAGUCAAAAAAUUCUAUUCUUCUGGGUUUUAUCUUCUUUUUUUUUUAAUUUUAGAAAAUGAAUAUAAAAAUAAUAAAAAGAUUUAGAAUUAAUAAGAUAAAAUAAGUAAGAGAAGACUCUGAAAUUAAGGGUAAACAGCUAAUCAAAGAUUAUCUCAAAGUUUGACGAUUUUCCUCGUCCACAUCUAAUGAUCCUCACGCGGUUUGUUUUUUUUAUUCCCAGAUCGACUCUUAGAUGUUUCGAUUAGUAGAUUACAAGAAAUAAAAAACCUAAGUAAUGGUUAAGUACAGUUAACGAAUUUCUACAUAGAAAAGUAUAUUAGGCUGCCUAACUUUUUACCCGAUGUUUUUCUCAAAUACUAUGUUCUACUUAUGCCAUAUAUUUUGAUUGACUGUCAUAAUACCAUGCCGUCUAGGAAAAACACAAAGAAAAUAUGUACUAUACUCCAUAAAUACAUGGACUUAUUUGUUUUUUAUAUUUGAUUGAUAUAUAUAUAUAUAUAUUACUUUAAAUCCAUUGGUUUAUAUUUUAUGUCAUAUAAUAUACUUCAAUUGAAAACUAGUUUAGAAAAUUCCACAAAAUUAGAAGAAAAUUUAUAUAUUGAAAGAGGUAACAUUUUCUACUUGUAACUAAGACUAAAAGUUGCUGCUAGUUACAAAAAUAGCUAAGAUCGGUGAACUCUUUGGUCGUAUAUCACAAACAUAUAGUGUACGUUUAUUUUCAAACAAAUAAUUAUAUUAUUUCGUUUAAAAAAUUUACAACAUAUAUUAUAUUUGAAGUCAAAAUUUAAAACAAUUCUUAAAACUAAAAAAAUUGACACUAUUUUAAGAUAAAUAAUAAUCAAGUAGAAUAUUUAGAUAACUACGGCUGCUAAAAGAAUUUGUUUUUAGCGUAAACAUGAUGGAAUUUUAUAGCACUGACUCACUACCAUUUGAUUCGUAUCGAAGGUAGUUGCCUUCAUGUAUUCAUAAUGGUUUCAGCUGGUAAAAGCAUCACUAGUUUUAGACUUUUAGUAUGAAAAGCGAGUUUAAUUGUUUUGAACUUUCUAAUUGCAUGUGGCAUCGUAGACAAAAUAGAAUAUAUAAAUAAAUGUAACUAAUAUAUAUAUAUAUAUAUAUCAAUAAAAUUAUGUAAAAAAUUGUAUAGAGUAAAUAAUUUGACUUGAGACUCUUCAAAUGAUGCUGCUCUUAUGUUUAGGUUCUACUUAAACCCGGUUACAAUAAACACAUCUUUUAUAAUUUUAUUUUACAAUUAUGACUCAUAUUUGAUGUUUCCCUUGUAUCUUUGUAAAAACUAAAAUCUAAUUUUUGUAGAUUGGCUUCGUAAGACCUAGGAUGUUAUACCUAGUUUGAAACUUUGUAAUUAGUACUACUACUUCAAGUAAUUAUAAUUAGACUACAUGAUAAAGAUUCUGCUAAUUAUAUUUUAAUUUCAAAACAUCACGUCAUUAGACUACAUGAUAGAGGAUCCGCUAAUCAAAUGCCAUGUAAAUAUAUGAUUUCCCAUCCUACAGAUGUUGUGAACUAGACACUUGAAGAAAUGAAAACUUAAUGAGCCAAUUAAUUAAUCAAUUAGGAGUCUGGAUAUAGUUGGGAAAAUAAUUAUGCGUAAAUAUAACACUACUAUAAAAAGAUCACAUUACUGAAAAUAAAAUCAAAAACAAAAGUAUCACGUUAUUGGACGGUACUACUACGGUAGUCAUCACGUGUAAAAAAUGUCAAUUACGUGGAAAUGUACCAACUUGGUUAUCCAAUCAGAAAAAAAUAGAAAACGAUAUUAUUAAAUAUAAAUCACGCAACCAAUCUUCUUAUUUUAUUUUUAAUACAUAGUCUUUUUUUUGGAAAUCUGUGUUUCUUUUGUCUUUGCCCCAUGUGGUAACUUUAGCGAUGGCAAGUAUAUUACAGAAUCCGUGCGACUUCUGGGCUUGUCACUGGGCCCACGAAAGGACUUGAAUCACAUACCCAAUCUUUUAAUUUUUAGUACAGUUUUCUUUUUAAAGUUGAGAGAUAGAGCUCAAGCCAAUCGAAAUGAUUCGGUUUAUAUCGAACUUGCAAGUCGGUAGAGUUUUUAACUUUUGAUAAGUUUUGACAAGGUUUUUUAUGGACAAAACCGGAAUGUUGGUAUUGCUAGAUGGCCGGUUAAUGCGGCGGCUGGAUAUGGAUGGGUUUAAAUGGCUGUGGUGGUGGCUGAGGUCAUUAUAGAGAUUUGGGAACUGAAAGCGAAGGUUCUGGGACUGACGGUGUAGCGUUUGAGUUUUGUCACGUGGCAUAAUUCACAUUGUAGUAGAUUUGGGCCUUAUUAAAAGAAUUCUGCAUUCUCUAUUUUGUCUUUCAGCCCAAUUUGGCCCGAUAAUUGAUUUAGUUCUAAUAAUACUUCAAAAUAGGCUUGG